AUUGAACGCUGGCGGCAGGCCUAACACAUGCAAGUCGAACGGUAACAGGAAGCAGCUUGCUGCUUUGCUGUCGAGUGGCGGACGGGUGAGUAAUGUCUGGGAAACUGCCCGAUGGAGGGGGAUAACUACUGGAAACGGUAGCUAAUACCGCAUAACGUCGCAAGACCAAAGAGGGGGACCUUAGGGCCUCUUGCCAUCGGAUGUGCCCAGAUGGGAUUAGCUAGUAGGUGGGGUAACGGCUCACCUAGGCGACGAUCCCUAGCUGGUCUGAGAGGAUGACCAGCCACACUGGAACUGAGACACGGUCCAGACUCCUACGGGAGGCAGCAGUGGGGAAUAUUGCACAAUGGGCGCAAGCCUGAUGCAGCCAUGCCGCGUGUAUGAAGAAGGCCUUCGGGUUGUAAAGUACUUUCAGCGGGGAGGAAGGGAGUAAAGUUAAUACCUUUGCUCAUUGACGUUACCCGCAGAAGAAGCACCGGCUAACUCCGUG
rnacentral:rRNA from 1 species